UCAAACUCGUUUGUGUCCUUUGUAAGCUCGAAUAAUUUGGUGGACAGCAGGUGGACGAAUCCAUGUCUGAGUCGGCCUCAAUCAAUCACGCUGAAAUGCGAAAUGCCGGCAGGCCCCGGAAGGUUACGCUGGACCGCGGUCGCUGUCGAGUGAGCACCGGUGUCUGGCCACCUCGAGCGAGGGGAUUCGCUUUGAAUUGGCUCCACAGAAGAGGUGCUGGGCAGAGGCUCCUUGAUGGGUGAAGAUCUGUAGGUGGGUGCCCGAGAGACGCAAGACUGCUGGGUAGAGGAAGAGGACUUGGCGGAGGACAAUGUCUGGGUGGAGCAGGUUGCCUUGGACGCUUUGGUGGAAGAGCGUGAGGUGGAUGAAGACUGGACACUGGAAGAGGCCUGGAUGGAGGAGGGCAUCUUGGCAGGGGAGGAUGCCUGUGGCGUGGAGAGCGCCUGGACAGUGGAAGACGCCUGGCAGGAGGAUGCCUUGGUGGUCGAGGAUGCCUCGGGCUUCGGCGUCUUGGACCUGCCCAGUUCUUAAAAUCACAAGGAAAGAUUUUCAGUGUACCUAGCUGAAUAAUUUCACAUUUUGAAAGAUGUCUGAGGUAGACAUUAACCAUGUCCGCCAACAAUUACCUCCUUCCAAAUCCAUCACCCCUGAAAAAGCAGAGUCAUCCAGCCACGUGUGGUCUUGGCUAGUGGAGCUCAAUUCCUGAUAAAAAAAUUAAA